CACGCGAGUAGAAGCGGUCAGGGCGCAGCCCGGGACAUUGCUCGGCAA
rnacentral:ncRNA from 1 species